GAACGUUCGGUAUGGCGUUUUUCAUUUUUUUUUGUUUUUUUUUUUGCAAAUCCGUUACAAGUAAAAAUAUCUAGGCCAAUGAGACAAUAUGACCAAGUAAAUUUUAUGUGCAGUGUGUUGCAGACGAUGAAUUCAAACAUAAUGCCAUAGCGGCUUUACGUCCUUGGUCAUAGAACCGAUGCCACACGGGUUUUCAUGUCUUGUUGCUUGUUACUACGGCGUGUGUUUUUGUUAAACAUGAAUUAGUAACGUUUUAUGUAUAUGAAAUGCAUGCAAUUGCUAAGAUUCCGAGUUGUAUUGUAUUUUAUUAUUAUUAUUAUUAUUUUUUUUUUUUUGUAAACCCUCCGAGUUGUAUUGUAUAUAAAUCAAAUAGACUAGAGAACCAAUUCGAAUAUUGUGUCGUGGUAAAGACAAAAUCGACAUACAAAAAAUAAAAAAUAAAGAUGAAAACAUAGUAUAAACUUGAAUUUUGA
rnacentral:lncRNA from 1 species